AUGAUUUGCCUCGUAUUGGACAUAGAGACGUGGCUCCUUCGGUGUGACAAGAUCAAGUCUCCAUAUCUCCUCUGCAGUAUGCUUUAUAAUACUGGCUUAGCAAAAGUUCUGAAAAUGGCUCCUCUGGAGAGAGUUCUCUCUUCUGCUUUUGCAACAAGACAUGCUCUGCAGGGCCGUGAAUUCACCCCUCUGGCCUAUCUCUGCAUUCAUCCACGGGGCAAGCUGGCAAAUGGGGAAGCUUGGAGAACGAUGAGCCCAGCCCUCCACCAUGGCACCGACUGA
rnacentral:lncRNA from 1 species